rnacentral:rRNA from 1 species
UACGGGGGGGGCAAGCGUUGUUCGGAAUUACUGGGCGUAAAGGGCCAGUAGGCGGCCAACUAAGUCCGACGUGAAAUCCCAAGGCUUAACCUUGGAACUGCGUCGGAUACUGGAUGGCUUGAAUUCGGGAGAGGGAUGCAGAAUUCCAGGUGUAGCGGUGAAAUGCGUAGAUAUCUGGAGGAAUACCGGUGGCGAAGGCGGCAUCCUGGACCGACAUUGACGCUCAUGCACGAAAGCGUGGGGAGCAAACAGG